rnacentral:rRNA from 1 species
GACGAACCGUGCAAACGUUGUUCGGAAUCACUGGGCUUAAAGGGCGCGUAGGCGGCCAUUCAAGUCAGAGGUGAAAGCCCAAGGCUCAACCUUGGAACUGCCUUUGAUACUGUUUGGCUUGAGACCGGUAGAGGUAAGUGGAACUGCGAGUGUAGAGGUGAAAUUCGUAGAUAUUCGCAAGAACACCAGUGGCGAAGGCGGCUUACUGGACCGGUUCUGACGCUGAGGCGCGAAAGCGUGGGGAGCAAACAGG